GUGUAGCUUAUUGGUAGAGUACUUGUCUAACAUGCGAGAAGCCCUGGGUUCAAUCCCAGCAC
rnacentral:tRNA from 1 species